rnacentral:tRNA from 1 species
UGGUAUAUAGUUUAAAGGUAAAACAACCGUCAGAAAGCGGAAAUUGUCGGUUCGAGUCCGACUAUACCAA